rnacentral:misc_RNA from 1 species
UUAACUAUUGUAUAGUACUCAGACGACACUAACGUUCAGAGUUUAGGGUCCUCUGGCGGGCGCAUACCAGCCGGGGCCGGUAGCCGAGGGCGGCCCGCCAAAGCAACAAAGGUAUAAUAACACAGGGUGGGAGGUCUACCCGUGAGGGCACGAACUCUGUAAUGAUCCCUCCGCAGGUUCACCUACGGAGA